rnacentral:lncRNA from 7 species
AAACAGCUGCAUUGUACUGCAGACUCAAAUCUUGCUACAGCUAUAAGCUGUAGGAUUCAAGCAUGAACUCAGCAGGAUUACACAGAAGAGAAGUAUAACACUUGGUGUGAAUUAAAGGGAUGAAGAAAUACACGUUUUUUUCUGGACAGGCAUACAAGAGACUGCAAGUAGUUUGCAAAGGAGGAUCUGAAGGCUCAGGUAUUUGUCCUAGAGAGUACAGUGACAGACCUCUUGCCAAGACAACAGGAAAAUUUCCACUGCAGCUCUACUCAUUGCAAAUGCGGAUGUGAGAACCGUAGCCUGAAGUGAAGAACCGAACAGUACUGAAAACAACCCAUUCCCAGCUGAAAGCGUUUCUGAUCAACGCUGCCUAAAAAGGAUGGCUAUUCCCUUUGGUGUGCUAAUGGCAGGGUCGUUGCCGUUUGCCUCCCUUGCGCCACAGGGAAGAAAAGCAAACAGGAGGAUCUACAAAGGGCUGCCCUGGAAAGUCUGCACUUGCCUCCUCUCAGAUACUGCAGUCUGUACUAUGGAAUAAUUGUAAUUUCUCUAUCACAUGUUCUACUAGGCUGCUAACCAGCUUUGGUCCGCUUCUAUGGAUCCUUCCAAGGGCCUUAACAUCUCUUUUGUAUUGUGAACUAAAAACUAAGAAAU